rnacentral:rRNA from 1 species
GACGAACGCUGGCGGCGUGCCUAAUACAUGCAAGUCGAACGCAUUUUCUUUCACCGUAGCUUGCUACACCGACAGAAAAUGAGUGGCGAACGGGUGAGUAACACGUGGGUAACCUGCCCAUCAGCGGGGGAUAACACUUGGAAACAGGUGCUAAUACCGCAUAAUUCCAUUUACUGCAUGGUAGAUGGAUGAAAGGCGCUUUUGCGUCACUGAUGGAUGGACCCGCGGUGCAUUAGCUAGUUGGUGGGGUAACGGCCUACCAAGGCUGCGAUGCAUAGCCGACCUGAGAGGGUGAUCGGCCACACUGGGACUGAGACACGGCCCAGACUCCUACGGGAGGCAGCAGUAGGGAAUCUUCGGCAAUGGACGCAAGGCUGACCGAGCAACGCCGCGUGAGUGAAGAAGGGUUUCGGAUCGUAAAACUCUGUUGUUAGAAAAGAACAAGGAUGAGAGUGGAAAGUUCAUCCCUUGACGGUAUCUAACCAGAAAGCCACGGCUAACUACGUG